UACGGGGAGGCAGCAGUGGGGAAUAUUGCGCAAUGGGGGAAACCCUGACGCAGCGACGCCGCGUGCGGGAAGAAGGCCUUCGGGUCGUAAACCGCUGUCAGGAGGGAAGAAACUGUUAGGGUAUAAUACGCCCUUUCACUGACGGUACCUCCAAAGGAAGCACCGGUUAACUCCGUGCCAGCAGCCGCGGUAAUACGGAGGGUGCGAGCGUUAAUCGGAAUCACUGGGCGUAAAGCGCACGUGGGCGGCGCAUCAAGUCAGGCGUGAAAGCCCUCGGCUCAACCGGGGAAUUGCGUUUGAAACUGGUGUGCUGGAGUCUGGGAGAGGUUGGCGGAAUUCCAGGUGUAGGAGUGAAAUCCGUAGAUAUCGGGAGGAACACCGGUGGGGAAGGCGGCCAACUGGACGAGUACUGACGCUGAGGUGGGAAAGCGUGGGGACCAAACAGGAUUAGAUACCCUGGUAGUCCACGCUGUAAACGAGGAUAUUAGGUGUCGGGGGUUACCUUCGGUGCCGCAGUAACGCGUUAA
rnacentral:rRNA from 1 species